AAUCACAGGUCAGCAUACUGUGGUGAAUACGUUCCCGGGCCUUGUACACACCGCCCGUCACACCAUGGGAGUUGAGAAUACCCGAAGCCCAUGUCAAAGUGGUCGAAGGUAGGCUUGAUGAUUGGGGUGAAGUCGUAACAAGGUACC
rnacentral:rRNA from 1 species